rnacentral:rRNA from 1 species
UACGUAGGGUGCAGGCGUUAAUCGGAAUUACUGGGCGUAAAGCGUGCGCAGGCGGUCUUUUAAGUCAGAUGUGAAAUCCCCGGGCUUAACCUGGGAACUGCGUUUGAAACUGAAAGGCUAGAGUGUGGCAGAGGGGGGUGGAAUUCCGCGUGUAGCAGUGAAAUGCGUAGAGAUGCGGAGGAACACCGAUGGCGAAGGCAGCCCCCUGGGCUAACACUGACGCUCAGGCACGAAAGCGUGGGGAGCAAACAGG